UACAUGUCCCUUUAUAUUAUACCUUCAC
rnacentral:sRNA from 1 species